rfam:TPA: Bos taurus chromosome 15, whole genome shotgun sequence.
UCCCUAGUGGCUCAGAUGGUGAAGAAUCUGCCUGAAAUGCAGCAGACCUAGGUUCAAUUCCUGGGUUGGGAA